rnacentral:lncRNA from 1 species
GCCAGCACCCUGGGCAGGAGGUGCUGGGAAGCCUGCUUUAGCCAUGGAGGAGCUCAGUGCUUGGGCUGCCUGUGCCUGUGUCUUGAGCCAGCUCUCCCUGUCACCUGUCCCCCGACCUGGGCAGGUGUGCCAGGCCUCCUGGGGGUGCGUCCUCCACAGCCUGUCUGUCCCCUGAGAGCCCGGUGCCCGGCUCGCCAGCAGCAGCUGCCCUGCCGGCUGUUGGUGCUGUGUGACCCCCUCCUCGGGUCCAGGCCUCUGCGGUUCUGCCCUAUCUUUCUCCCCUGGGUCUGCCCAUGCUGCCCCUCCCUCCAUCCAGCAGCGCUGUGUUCUCUCCAGGCUCUGCUUGGCCUCAGCUGUGGGAGCCCCCGUGGCUCUCUGGUAGCGUCUCUUGGGGACAGGGCUCCUUUCCCCACCUCUCCAGGCGGCUCUGUCUCCCGUGAGCUUCGGGUAACCAGGCCUUACGGGCAGGAAGUGAGGACGCCCUCUUGCUCCCCAGGGGACACUGCCAGCGCAGAGGGAUUCACUGCUCUCCUGUGCCCAGCAGCGCAGGAGCAGGCCAGUGGGAGCAGCGUCUACACAGGCACAUCAUGUUCUGGCUCAGAGCGGGGACUCAGCGGAAAGGAGACCAGGGAGGUGCAGUCUCCAGAGGAGCCAGCUGCUCUCACCCAGCCCCGAACCAGCAACGGGCAAGGGCAAGGGCAAGGGCAAAGGAGUCGGGUCUCCACCUCCAUCCCAGAGCUGAGCAUCCCUCCAGCCCUCCCCACCCAGCUGCUCAGAGGAGAAGCCCAGGCCUGGCUCAGGAGUCCUGCAAGGCACCAUGGACAGGGGUGGGGAGCGUGGGGCAGGGGUGAGGUCAAGAUGCUGAGGACAACAACAGCUAUUGUCAUUUUAUUGCACAUCUGCCAUGAGCCCCAUCCAUCCACCAGCCCUCGCUGUGACCACAGGCAUUUAAUCCCACAGUUGAUGCCCUGGACCAUGAGCCUCGAGACACGAGGGUGGGCGCGAGAGCCAGGGUCCCUUGCCUGA